UCAGGGACACGAGCUAUACAUUUAUCUACAAGCCUUUAAUAAUAACGUUGGAUAUGCACGUUAUAAUCAUUUUUUCAUUGGCGGAGAGACGGAAAACUAUAAAUUAAAAUCAUUGGGAAGCUAUUCUGGAAAUGCAACUGAUGCUUUGAAUUUCCACCUCAAUAUGCAAUUCUCAACUUCUGAUGAGGAUAACGAUAAUUCAAAUAAACAUUGCGCAGAAGAGUUUAGCUCUGGUUGGUGGUUCCACAGUUGCUACCAUUGCAAUCUCAAUGGAAUUUACCGAACGAUAAAUGAUGCUAGUAACAACGGAGUUAAUUGGAACGCGUGGAACAGUGAUUCACUUCAAUUUGUUCAAAUGAUGAUCAGACCUCGAGAAUAUGAUGUCUAAGCUUAUUCAUGUAUGCAUUGUCAAAUGAGUGAAACUUGAAAUAAAACUGCGAUUAUUAUAUCUAACAAAUGUAGCCCCACAGCCAGCCAUUGAAUUAUUAGUUAUCAAAGACUCGCACUCUUUAAUUGAAAUUUAGUGAAGGCAGCCCAAACAAUAAAACUGGUGUCAUUGGCUUUCAUCGUACGCAUUCAUAUUAUACUAAAGAAAUAUUUUUUUCUGUUGUUUUGAGCUAGAUCAAAAUAUGUUAUGUUAGCCAGAAAGGCACUGUGCACUCGGCCUUGGAACCAGCCCAUCUAUGUGAUAUAGCUGAGCAUUGUUAUCCAUGCUUCUGCGCCACUUUUAAAUAAAAAUAUUUUCGGCGAAG